UAAUAGCGUAUAUUAAAGUUGUUGCAGUUAAAAGCUCGUAGUCGGAUGUCGGGCUCGGGCAGGCUGUCGGCUUCGGUCGGACGGCAGGCUCGGGUCUUUCUGCCUGAGGAUCCCGUUCGUCACUUAAUUUGAUGGGGCGGUGGGGACGGCAGGCCCGUUUUACUUUGAAAAAUUAGAGUGUUCAAAGCAGGCCUACGCUUGAAUACAUUAGCAUGGAAUAAUGGAAUAGGACUUUGGUGCUAUUUUGUUGGUUUAUGGGACCGAAGUAAUGAUUAACAGGGACAGUUGGGCCGUUUAUAUUUCGUUGUCAGAGGUGAAAUUCUUGGAUUUACGAAAGAUAAACUUCUGCGAAAGCAUUCGGCAAGGAUGUUUUCAUUGAUCAAGAACGAAAGUUAGGGGAUCGAAGACGAUCAGAUACCA
rnacentral:rRNA from 1 species